ACACAUGCAAGUCGAGCGGAAACGAUGAUAGCUUGCUAUCAGGCGUCGAGCGGCGGACGGGUGAGUAAUACUUAGGAAUCUACCUAGUAGUGGGGGAUAGCACGGGGAAACUCGUAUUAAUACCGCAUACGACCUACGGGAGAAAGGGGGCAGUUUACUGCUCUCGCUAUUAGAUGAGCCUAAGUCGGAUUAGCUAGAUGGUGGGGUAAAGGCCUACCAUGGCGACGAUCUGUAGCUGGUCUGAGAGGAUGAUCAGCCACACCGGGACUGAGACACGGCCCGGACUCCUACGGGAGGCAGCAGUGGGGAAUAUUGGACAAUGGGGGAAACCCUGAUCCAGCCAUGCCGCGUGUGUGAAGAAGGCCUUUUGGUUGUAAAGCACUUUAAGCAGUGAAGAAGACUCCAUGGUUAAUACCCAUGGACGAUGACAUUAGCUGCAGAAUAAGCACCGGCUAACUCUGUGCCAGCAGCCGCGGUAAUACAGAGGGUGCAAGCGUUAAUCGGAAUUACUGGGCGUAAAGGGAGCGUAGGUGGCUCUAUAAGUCAGAUGUGAAAUCCCCGGGCUUAACCUGGGAACUGCAUCUGAAACUGUAGAGCUAGAGUAUGUGAGAGGAAGGUAGAAUUCCAGGUGUAGCGGUGAAAUGCGUAGAGAUCUGGAGGAAUACCGAUGGCGAAGGCAGCCUUCUGGCAUAAUACUGACACUGAGGCUCGAAAGCGUGGGUAGCAAACAGGAUUAGAUACCCUGGUAGUCCACGCCGUAAA
rnacentral:rRNA from 2 species